CUUUAGCAAUAUUUCCUGACCAGUGCAUUUUAGUUUCUGGUCGGUGUCUUUCAUCACCUGGACAUAAUAUUAUGCUUUCUAUACUUUAUGCUGUUAGUUUCCUCUUGUAAAAGCAGUGCUAUAGCACUGCUAGAAGCAGACUCAUCACAUUCAAUGAACUGUGUAGCUGUGCUUCAGCAAGUACCCCCCAAAAGUCUACAGUAUAUACAUCUGGUGUACGAAAGAUCCACCUGGAGUAUUUUUGUAAAGGAAAAAUCUCAAGGCAUUGUUACAAAGCCAAUUGAAAGAUAUGCACAAGUUUGCAGCUAGUUAUUGAAGUGGUGGGCGUGGCUGAAUAUAGUUGCGCAUGCUCAGUAGAUUUAUUAGCUGUGAAACCAUGUGCUGCUCCAAAAGACAAGAACAGAGACAAGACAGGAUUUGUUCACUGCAUUACAUGAAGUGGAUGAUGUUACAAUGUACUUCUAUGACAGGUAAGGAACAGACAGAUGACUAGUUAUCUAUAAUUAGGUAAACACUGGUCACUGUCUAUUUUUCUACUUUCUAAGUCCACCUUUUUCCUAAAGUAAAUACUAACUGGCAAGUAUAUAUGUCAAUGUGAGAAAGAAUAAAGCAAUCUGGCCGGAACCAGGCGACCCUACUACCUAUGAAGUGGUACAGUGACAAGGUGGGCGCUUCAUCGUCAAGAGUGAUUGGUCUUGCUAUACCUGAGUUGGUUGUUGUCGAAAAUGCUCAUUUAACUACAAGUUCCAUGGCAGUAUGUUACACCAAGAAGACCUGUUCCGUAAACAAUCAAUUUCCUUUGUAUUGUCACUGUACAAUAUUUUGUCUUUCCUUCUAACUGUUGUUUUGUUUAUAGUUGUUUUGUUUAUAGUAACUGUUGUCACUUUUCACUUAAAAUUAAUGUCACUGUUAACAUUUUUAA